CAGUAGCCACGGGAAUACGGAGGGUGCAAGCGUUAAUCGGAAUUACUGGGCGUAAAGCGCACGCAGGCGGUCUGACAAGUCAGAUGUGAAAUCCCCGGGCUUAACCUGGGAACUGCAUUUGAAACUGUCAGGCUGGAGUCUUGUAGAGGGGGGUGGAAUUCCAGGUGUAGCGGUGAAAUGCGUAGAGAUCUGGAGGAAUACCGGUGGCGAAGGCGGCCCCCUGGACAAAGACUGACGCUCAGGUGCGAAAGCGUGGGGAGCAAACAGGAUUAGAUACCGAGUAGUCCCUGUCUCUUAUACA
rnacentral:rRNA from 1 species